rnacentral:lncRNA from 1 species
CCGGAUGACUCAUCGCCGGAUGACGACUCGCCUGAUGACUCCUCGCCUGCUGACUCAUGGCGAGGUACCUCAACCAUGGGAGACGGCGGAGUAGGAACUCGAUCAGUAGGCUCAACUGGAGCUGGAGCUGAAGCCUCUACCAUGGGCGACUGCAUAGAAUCAACUGGAGCUGGAGCUGAAGCCUCAACCGCGUGAGAGGUCGCAGCAUGAUCGCCGCGCCGGCUAGAAGCAUGUAAUCGCCGGUGUCUAUCCU